CAAUGGAAGGAACUCUGAAUGCAGCGACGCCGCGCUGAGUGAAGAAGUAUUUCGGUAUGUAAAGCUCUAUCAGCAGGGNAAGAAAAUGACGGUACCUGNACUAAGAAGCCCCGGCUAACUACGUGCCAGCAGCCGCGGUAAUACGUAGGGGGCAAGCGUUAUCCGGAUUUACUGGGUGUAAAGGGAGCGUAGACGGCGACGCAAGUCUGAAGUGAAAUACCCGGGCUCAACCUGGGAACUGCUUUGGAAACUGUGUUGCUAGAGUGCUGGAGAGGUAAGCGGAAUUCCUAGUGUAGCGGUGAAAUGCGUAGAUAUUAGGAAGAACACCAGUGGCGAAGGCGGCUUACUGGACAGUAACUGACGUUGAGGCUCGAAAGCGUGGGGAGCAAACAGGAUUAGAUACCCUGGUAGUCCAAGGGCGAAUUC
rnacentral:rRNA from 1 species